rnacentral:rRNA from 1 species
GAGUGGCGGACGGGUGAGUAAUGUCUGGGAAACUGCCUGAUGGAGGGGGAUAACUACUGGAAACGGUAGCUAAUACCGCAUAACGUCGCAAGACCAAAGAGGGGGACCUUCGGGCCUCUUGCCAUCGGAUGUGCCCAGAUGGGAUUAGCUAGUAGGUGGGGUAACGGCUCACCUAGGCGACGAUCCCUAGCUGGUCUGAGAGGAUGACCAGCCACACUGGAACUGAGACACGGUCCAGACUCCUACGGGAGGCAGCAGUGGGGAAUAUUGCACAAUGGGCGCAAGCCUGAUGCAGCCAUGCCGCGUGUAUGAAGAAGGCCUUCGGGUUGUAAAGUACUUUCAGCGGGGAGGAAGGGAGUAAAGUUAAUACCUUUGCUCAUUGACGUUACCCGCAGAAGAAGCACCGGCUAACUCCGUGCCAGCAGCCGCGGUAAUACGGAGGGUGCAAGCGUUAAUCGGAAUUACUGGGCGUAAAGCGCACGCAGGCGGUUUGUUAAGUCAGAUGUGAAAUCCCCGGGCUCAACCUGGGAACUGCAUCUGAUACUGGCAAGCUUGAGUCUCGUAGAGGGGGGUAGAAUUCCAGGUGUAGCGGUGAAAUGCGUAGAGAUCUGGAGGAAUACCGGUGGCGAAAGCGGCCCCCUGGACGAAGACGGACGCUUAGGUGCGAAAGCGUGGGGAGCAAACAGGAUUAGAU